rnacentral:rRNA from 1 species
UACGGAGGGGGCAAGCGUUGUUCGGAAUUAUUGGGCGUAAAGAGUAUGUAGGCGGCUAUUUAAGUCAGGCGUGCAAGCCCACGGCUCAACCGUGGAAUUGCGUUUGAAACUAUUUAGCUUGAGUACAGGAGAGGAAGGCGGAAUUCCCAGUGUAGCGGUGAAAUGCAUUGAUAUUGGGAAGAACACCGGUGGCGAAGGCGGCCACCUGGACUAAUACUGACACUGAGGUGCGAAAGCGUGGGGAGCAAACAGG